GGGUAUAGCUCAGUGGUAGAGUUCAUGAUUAGCAUGCAUGAGGUCCUGGGUUCAAUUCCCAGCACCUCCA
rnacentral:tRNA from 1 species